rnacentral:rRNA from 1 species
AGCGAACGCUGGCGGCAGGCCUAACACAUGCAAGUCGAGCGCCCAGAAAUGGGAGCGGCAGACGGGUGAGUAACGCGUGGGGAUGUGCACAAUGGUGCGGAAUAACCCAGGGAAACUUGGAUUAAUACCGCAUGUGCCCUUCGGGGGAAAGAUUUAUCGCCAUUGGAUCAACCCGCGUCUGAUUAGCUAGUUGGUGAGGUAAAGGCUCACAAAGGCGACGAUCAGUAGCUGGUCUGAGAGGAUGAUCAGACACACUGGGACUGAGACACGGCCCAGACUCCUAAGGGAGGCAGCAGUGGGGAAUAUUGGACAAUGGGCGCAAGCCUGAGCCAGCCAUGCCGCGUGAGUGAUGAAGGCCUUAGGGUUGUAAAGCUCUUUCGCCGGUGAAGAUAAUGACGGUAACCGGAGAAGAAGCCCCGGCUAACUUCGUGCCAGCCGCCGCGGUAAUAC